UACGGAGGGUGCAAGCGUUAUCCGGAAUCACUGGGUUUAAAGGGUGCGUAGGCGGCUUGAUAAGUCAGAGGUGAAAGCUCACUGCUCAACAGUGGAAUUGCCUUUGAUACUGUCAGGCUAGAAUCGGCACGAGGCAGGCGGAAUGUGACAUGUAGCGGUGAAAUGCUUAGAUAUGUCAUAGAACACCAAUUGCGAAGGCAGCUUGCCAGAGUCGCAUUGACGCUGAGGCACGAAAGCGUGGGGAGCGAACAGG
rnacentral:rRNA from 1 species